UAAAUCCGUGGGGGAGCGGGUCUUCGCCCGGUUGGCGUUCGGUUCGGCACGGCGGAAGAAGUCCAACAUCUACCGUUCCGGGCCGUUGGGGUUGACC
rnacentral:tRNA from 1 species